rnacentral:lncRNA from 1 species
AUUAUACACCAUCAUCAGUUGGUUGAACGAGCUUUCAUGAAACACUGAGAACUCGCUAGUGAACGUUAGAGUUACCUUUGGAAUUCCCUCUGUUCUGGUUUCCUUGGAAUUUAUCUUGUGUUGCAGAUGUAACUUCGGGGCGAUUAAAGAGCCAGCUCUUCUAAUGACUGCAACAAAAACAAAUCAAAUUACAGACACUUAUAGAUUGUAUUCUAAACAUUUCAGAUUAUUAUUGCAUGGCUACUGUUUUAAAUAAGAAAAGAUACACCAAGAUACUUGAAACCAUAUAUUUCUCCCUUGCUAAAACUUAGGAAAACAUUUCCCUAUCCGCUUUUUUUAGUCUUUGUACUGAAAUAUAGGUUUUGAGGUUUAAACUAUAGCAUACAAUAUAGAUCGUAAGUGCUAUUUAUUUCCUUCCAAGUAAAUGGACCGCAUCAAGAAUCCUAAAUUGUGGCUACUAAUAGGGAACUUUUGUAAAAAUUAUAAACGACCAUAUUUUUAAUAUUGUGUUUAACACAACUGUAUUAAAACAUUUAAUAUUUGAAAAUUUUAAGCCGAUAUGACCUCAAUAUAAGGUCAGAUCGACCAGUGAGACGGUGGGGGAUAAGCUUCAUCGUCGAGAGGGAAACAGCCCAGAUCACCAGCUAAGACCCCUAAAUGACCGCUCAGUGAUAAAGGAGGUAGGGGUGCAGAGACAGCCAGGAGGUUUGCCUAGAAGCAGCCACCCCUGGAAGAGUGCAUAAUAGCUCACUGAUUGAGCGCUCUUAAGCCGAAGAGGAAAAUGUUGUAUCCUCACAAAUUCAAGGAUAUGAAGUGAGUUGAGGCAACCACGAGAGGGCACAUACAUCAUAAGUCCAUGAUGAUUUAAUUAAAAACCCAAAUUUACUAUAAAGGUGCAAUUAGAAAGCAAUAUGAUAAUAUCUCGAACAUACCCUUGAUCUUGGUUAAAUUUUACGACUUGAUCUUGUUGCCUCAGCAUUCAAUGCAUCAACUGUGUCUCCAACACACCAAGUAAUCAAGUAUAAUCCAUCACCUCUGCUCUUCGUCUCUUCCUAGUUCCAUCAAAUCCCAUUAUCCCAUGCUAUUUGUAGGAUGGGCAAUGCGUACUGUGGGUGCCUUGAAGCCAUCACCAUUAAGCGGCACCCAAUCCUUUAGUUCCCCUGAUCCCAAAAACGAUCCCAAAAACAAGUGUGGUAUUUAGGUGGAUAUUGGAUAAAUUAAAAAUGUAAAGAUUCAGAAAUAAUGUUAAUUAAUACCUCUUCACACACGCACAUAUCACCUUGAUUAUUACUCCCUCCGUCCCCCUGAGUUGUAUACAUUGGGGGACGGGGACGCGGCACGGACUUUAAUGCUCCUUUAAAGUGUAGUUGUGUAAUUUAUUUUUAAAAUUUUUUUUCUGAAUUAAAGUUUGGAUGUUAUAUUUUUAUUCAGAAAAAGAAAAUCUCAAAAAUAAGUUACGGAACUAUAUUUUAUAAGAGCAUUGAAAUGCGUGUCGAGCAGUUGAAAAGAAACGUAUACAAUUAAAUGGGACAGAGGGAGUAUACUUUAAGUUAUUCUUCUUUCUUUAUUGAUAAAGAUAUUGAGCAAUAUAUGUAACAGGCUACAGCUUAAAAGACAUAUACCAGAACAUCAUGUCAAAAUGUCGCUAAGAUAACCUGCAGGAUAUACCAACACAUUAUUUCGAAGCGCCUCUUAAAUGUCAACAACGUAUAUCAGUGGCGGAACCAGGAGAUCAAAUCAUCCGGGGCUCAAAAAAUAUUCGGGACUCAAAUAUUUAACAACAUUUGAUUGAAGGAAAAAUAUCAGUUAAUACAAAGAUUUUUGAAACUUACCCGAGGCUCAAAAAAUUUCGUUAUAUCAUUUUUAGAGAACAUUCGGCGAUGAAAAAAAAAAUUCUACUGGUUUUUUUUCUCCUAGUCGGGGCUCCAGCCCCCCUUCGCCCCCCCUGAUUCCGCCCCUGGCGUAUAUGACAAUUAAUAAUGACAACCUCAUUUCAAAGAUGAUGCCAUGAACAGUCACAGAUAUGCAAUCAAACACCUGCAGUUGAGAUACUAAUUUGCGAACCUAAAUCCCCUUCUCAAGUUAUGUUUAAUAAUCAUCUGGUUUACCAACAAAGAAUAACGUAUUAACAUGCUAACAUCCUAGACGAUGUUGGUGUUAUUCCAAUAUUUAAAAAAUUGUUUAUGCUAUAAAUUAUAUGAAAUGCUUGUCCUUGUACUGUUUUACUUGCACUAUUUUCUAAAGAAUAAUGUAGUUGUAAAUAAAAUCGGAGCAGUAAUUAAAAUAUUAUCACCAUUUGUUUGGAGUUCAGUGUAACAGACAAAAGCUUUUCCAUCUUUCAAAAUUCAGAAUCUUAGCCGGAUACCAUGUUUCUUUAUGAGUACCACCACCUUUAAAGACCUACUUCAUUGAUAGUCAAGUAUUUUCAUUUGUAAGCAUAAAAAAUGACCAGAUAACUGAAAAUGUGAGUUUAACAAACAAAAUAUUACUUAUUAUGACCAAUCCAGUUCUUCGUAGUUAGCAUAGCAAUAAGUGGUUAUAGAAGUACUGCAUAAAGUAAAGGAACUGAAGCAAAGAUUAAACAUGAAAUAAUUUUUUCCACUAACCUCAACAAGGCAACCUUCUACCAUUCCAUUCUCAAAUGCUGUCCCUGAUGCAGUUUUGUAAGCAUCUCCAGAUGCAACAGCUUCGGAGUUGGUUCCACAGUAUGAUUCAGGAACAGUGUUGAUGGUUCUGGCAGUGUCAAAUGCUCUGUGACAUCUUUGAGUCCUAGAUGAGUUCUUUCUGAUACUUUUGGCUGUACCCGAGAUACAAUCAAUAUACAGGUGUAAUUCCAGUUAGAUACCUACAUAUCAGCAUAAAGAAGUAACAUACCAGGAUUUACAGCUUUCCCCACUAUAUUUUCCCCUGGUUCAGCAGGAACAAGUGUGUUUCCACACCCCAUUCAGGAGACACAUGGAGAGUACUCCAGUAGUUUUUAGGACCAGAAUCAGCCAAUUCUCUUUUAAGGCAAAUGAUUACCAUUAGAGAUAAUAAUUACUACUUGAGGUACUGAUGCUGCUGCCAGUUAGAAGCUUUUACGAUGGCAUUCAAGUUUUCAGCAUGUUUUACGGCAGCUGAUGCAGCUUUAACUCUCUUCUUAACUGCUGCUUUUGCAACAGCAAUUAUAGAACUAGUGGAUAUUUUUUCCUCUCCAUCCACUCGUGAAUAACUCGAAGCACGAGCAGGAGACGUUGCAGUAUUCUGUGUACUAUUUCCAGUUGCAGUUGUAAUUGACACUUCUUGCCAUUAUCUUUGCAUCAACUGCAAUAUUUGAUGCAAGUUUAGCUGCAGAUGCUGCCUUUGCAACAGAAGAAAGCUUUGUUUCAUCAU